UUAGUUGAUCUUACUAGUAGUCAUAUGUCUGUCUCAAAGAUUAAGCCAUGAAUGUAUAAAUAUAAAUUGUUUUAUAUUGUGAAAUUGUGAAUGGCUUAUUAAAUCAAUAAUAGUUUAUUUGAUAGUACCUUACUACUCAGAUAACUAUAGUAAUUCUAUAACUAAUAUGUGUAAAGAGUCCUGACUUUCAGAAGGGAUGCACUUACUAGAUUCAAGACUAAUGUGUGCUCAUUUAUAUUCUCAGUGGUUCAUGAUAACUUGUUAAAUCAUAUGAUGCUUUAUUUCGUUAAAGUGGGACUUAUUCAGUAAAGUGGGACAUUAAUUAGCAUGUGUCCACAUGCCAUUUCCUAGUACUUAAUUAAUAUUUAUUAAUAUUUCUAUCAGUUUUUUAAUUUAUUUUUUUAUAUUUCACAAUAUUAUAACACAAAAUCAUAUGAAAAGUUUUUAAUUUAUAAAUUAUAAAGUUAAAACUUCAAUUUUUUAUUGUUAUUAUAAAAAUGGCAUGUGGCCACACACCAUAAGUGGGAUAAUGAAAAGUCCCACUUUAACGAAAUAAAGCAUUAUGGUCCUCGUGUCAGUGAUACUUAAAUUAAAUUUCUGCCCUAUCAACUUUUGAUGGCUAUCAUAGUGGUGAUAGGUAAUAGGGAAUUAGGGUUUGAUUUUGAGACAUAGCUACCACAUCCAGGGAAGGUAGCAAACGCACGAAUUAUCCAAUUCUGACAUUGGGAGGUACUGACAAUAAAUAAUAAUAUCGGGCUUUCAAAAUUUGGUAAUUGGAAUGAGUAUAAUAUAAAUCUCUUAAGGAAGAUUCAUUAGAGGGCAAGUCUAGUGCCAAUAGCUAUAGUAAUUCUAAUUCUAAUAACAUGUUAUUAUAGUUGAAAAAGCUCAUUUGGAUCUCAAGACAAGAUGAAUGGUUUCCCUGUAUGCACUAGUCACCCCAUUCUAUGAGUCAAUGAUGCUAAUUUGAUCUUUACUGGCUAGGGUGUGGAGUCGACAAUGUUAUUUUGAAAAAAUUAAAGUGCUCAAAACAGACUUAUACUCUAAAUACAUUAGUAUGGAAUAAUGUAAUAGGACUCUGAUCUUGUUGUGUUGGUCUCCAAGAUAUGAGUAAUGAUUAGUAGGGACAAUUGGGGGCAUUUGUACUCUCCAAGAUAUGAGUAAUGAUUAGUAGGGACAAUUAGGGGCAUUUGUACUCUAUUGUUAGAGAUGAAAUUCUUAAGCAUUUGCUGAGGAUGUGUAGCACACCUUAUUUCUCUCCCCUUAAGUCAACUGGAAAAGGGGCAAUUGCUUAAUGAAAGAGCCCUUAAUGGUUAUUUUAUCCCCAUUUAUCCCCCAAGGUUUCAAGGAUCCAUGGUGACAGUAUAUCUAAAUUUCAUCCCAUGAUCACAUGCGCUACACUCACCCCCCCUUUCACCCCCCUUUAGAGAUGUCAAUGUCCUCAUUGACUAUUGACUAUUGACUAACAACCCCCUAUUGAGCCAAGGGGAACCAACACCUCCAUUUCCCGUACUGCAGUCCCACGGUAGAUACUUUCGUCCGUAUUCCAUAUGAAGCAACUAGUCAUCCACCCGUACCGUAGUCCCAUGGUGGAUACCUUCGUCUGUAUUCCAUGCCGUAUUCCAUGUGAGGCAACUAGUCAUCCACCCAUACUGCAGUCCCACGGUGGAUACUUUCGUCCAUGGAUACUUCGUCCAGUCGUUGAAAAUAUUCCCAGAUUUGAGAUGCAAGAGGGCGGGGUGGGGGUGGCCGAGGCACAAUGAAGAUUCCCAAGUCUAGAUUUGCAAACCCAAGUCUGGAUUUUUUUGCAAAUCCGUUUGAGGUUCACACAAGAGGAAGGACGCCCAAUAUGUACAAUUUCAAAUUUAGGGGUAAAAAUAUAUCUUACUCAAGGGUAUAUUAUAUUUUUAAGUAACCACUAAUCAAUGGGAAUCGAACCCGUGCCAUUUGUUCCGAUACCAACUAUAACGCACCUUAUCUCUCUCCCCUUAAGCCAACUGGAAAAGGAGCAAUUACUUAAUGAGAGAGCCCUUAGUGGCUAUUUUAUCCCCAUUUAUCCCCUAAGGUUCUAAGGAUCCACGAUGACAGUAUAUCCAAAUCUCAUCCCAUGAUCACAUGCACUACAUGAUGCUUUUAUUAAUCAAGAAUGAAAAUUAGGAGCUCAAAUACGAUUAAAUACCAUUUUAGUCUUAACCAUAGAUGAUGAUGAUUAGGGAUUGGCAGAUGUUAUUUGGAUGACAACGCCAUCACCUCAUGAAAAAUCAAAGUCUUUGAGUUCCA
rnacentral:ncRNA from 1 species